CUGCGAACCAACUGAACAUUCAGCUGAAAUGCACUCCAAAUAAAUCCCAAAUCCAAAUGAAAUCCAAAUUCUCGACCUCCACAGCCACAGCCACCAUUUUCAUAUUUGAAACACCAUUCGUCUCCGCCUGCUGCUACCCCUCUCCGCUUCGUCUUAAUUAAGAACCUCCGGUCACGGACUUUCUCCUUUGUAUGGAAUGACGGACUACCGCUUGGCGACAAUGAAUCUAUGGGCCGACGAGAAUGCCUCAAUGAUGAUGGAGGCGUUCAUGGCCUCCGAUCUGCCGUCGUUUUGGCCGCCACCCUCAUCCUCCACCACGGCGGCGGCUGCGGAGCCAUCCAAGGCGAUCCAUCACCAAUCCCUGCCGCCGCAGCCGGUCGCCGUGUUCAACCAGGAGAGCCUUCAGCAACAGCUCCAGGCCCUGAUCGAGGGUGCUCGGGAGAGUUGGACUUACGCCAUAUUCUGGCAAUCGUCCGUCGAUCACGCCGGCGGCUCGAUCCUCGGCUGGGGCGACGGGUACUACAAAGGCGAGGAGGACAAGGCUAAGCGAAAGAUGACGACGUCGCCGUCGGAGCAGGAGCACCGGAAGAAGGUCCUCCGCGAGCUCAAUUCUCUGAUCUCCGACUCCUCGCCGUCGGCCGACGACACAGUCGACGAGGAAGUCACCGACACCGAGUGGUUCUUUCUUGUUUCCAUGACUCAGUCGUUUCCAAAUGGCGGUGGCCUCCCCGGCCAGGCCUUCUUCAAUUCGACCCCAAUUUGGCUAGCCGGAGCCGACAGCCUCGCCGGCUCGCCUUACGAGCGAGCCCGUCAGGGCCAGGUUUUUGGUAUCCAGACCAUGGUCUGCAUCCCCUCCGUCAAUGGCGUCGUCGAGUUAGGUUCUUCUGAACUCAUUUUCCAGAGCUCUGAUCUCAUGAAUAAGGUCCGAGUUCUCUUCAAUUUCAACGGCAUCGAAUCGGCUUCGUGGUCGAUGCAGACCGACCACAGCGAGAACGACCCGUCGGCGCUCUACAUAACCGACCCUUCCUCGGCCGAAAUCCGGGACUCAGUGAACACUGCAAAGCAAAUCACAUUUGAAAAUCCGCCUGUUAUUCACCAAGAGAGCCAAGGGCAUUCCCAGAGCACAUACACCAGAGAGUUGAAUUUCGCUGAAUUCGUUAACGAGGGAAGUAGCACCGGCAACGGGAAUUCACGCCUGUGCAAGCCCGAGUCCGGUGAGAUAUUGAAUUUUGGGGAAAGCAAGAGGAGUUCGAAUCAAUCCCAUUUUGGAAUUGCGGAGGAGAAGAAGAAGAAGAGGGCGUCGACUUCGCAGAGCACAAUUGAAGAGGGAAUACUUUCGUUUAGUUCCGGCGUGGUAUUGCCGUGUUCGACGGCCACCGGGGAAGAGUCGAAUCAGGCCGACCUUAUGGGGUCGGCGGCUCGGGACGCCGACUGCAGGAGAGUGGUUGACCCUGAGAAAAGGCAGCGAAAGCGGGGCAGAAAGCCGGCGAAUGGAAGAGAAGAGCCAUUGAAUCAUGUGGAGGCUGAGAGGCAGAGAAGAGAGAAGCUUAACCAGAGAUUCUAUGCUCUCAGAGCAGUGGUCCCAAACGUCUCCAAAAUGGACAAAGCUUCCCUCCUUGGAGACGCCAUUUCCUACAUCAACGAGCUGAAAUCCAAGGUUCAAGCGGCAGAGUCCGAUAAAGAGGAGAUGAGCAGCCAGAUUGAGCGUCUGAAGAAAGAAAUGGCUGCCAAAGAGUCAAGAAAUCCAUGCCCACCGCCUCGGCUCGAUCCGGACCCGAAGCAUCCAAGCCACCAUCAAGACAGUUUGAUAGAUGCGGAAAUUGAUGUGAAGAUAAUUGGGUGGGAAGUGAUGAUCCGAAUGCAGUGCAGCAAGAAGAACCACCCGGCUGCGAGGUUAAUGGCGACGCUCAAGGAGCUGGAUCUUGAUGUGCAGCAUGCUAGCGUUUCAGUAAUGAAUGAUUUGAUGAUCCAACAGGCGACUGUGAGGAUGGGGAGUCGGUUCUACACGCAGGAACAGCUCCGGCUGGUCUUGUUGUCCCAUCUUGCCGAUACCUGAUAAGACUUGAAUCUGUGAGAUGCCCUGUUUUCAAUUCUGGAGGGAGAUGCACAAACAUGGUUGGCUAAGAAAGAGGGUAAACAUCAAUGGAAGUGCCAUCUUCUUUCUUCUUGUACACAUGCAUGGAACUAUCUGCGAAAUCUGCAUGUCAAAGGCACCAUCUUGAAAAUAGUCCCGGGUGUUUGAUCCAUUUCUCUUCUUUUCAAGUCUCAGAACUGGUUUUAGGGUGGAAGAUUGUCAUCAAACCUAAAAGCAGCCAAAAAGAUAAGAGAAGAGAAGAAUUUCGAACGACAACGAUGAAAUUCUAACUAUCAACUUCAAAGGAGAGGACAGAUCAGACACAAAGCAAUGAGGUUUUACUGAUCAACUUCAAAGGAGAGGACAUGUUACAGAUAAGGUUCCAAUGUUUUGAUAGUCACGGUGAUCAUGAAUGUGCAAAGAAGAUGAUGGUUGUGAAUUUGGGAAAAAAAAAAAAAGAAAAGGAAACAGAAAGAAAAUAUUGUUGUCGACAGAAUUUGAAGUGGGGGCCAAAUUAGAAAAGCGUGUUUUUUCUAAUAAAUAAAUUAAAAACAAUGAAAAGUUUAUAAAGAAAAAGAGUAGAGAACAUGUUUAAGAUAUUUUCUAAAAUUUA